CUACGGGACGCUCCAGUAGGGAAUAUUGGACAAUGGGGGCAACCCUGAUCCAGCGAUGCCGCGUGUGUGAAGAAGGCCUACGGGUUGUAAAGCACUUUCAGUAGGGAGGAAGAGGUACGCUUGAAUAAAGUGUAUUGAAGACGUUACCUACAGAAGCAGCACCGGCUAACUCUGUGGCCAGCAGCCGCGGUAAUACAGAGGGUGCAAGCGUUAAUCGGACUGACUGGGCGUAAAGGGCUUGUAGGUGGUGAAUCAAGUUAGAUUUGAAAGAUCCGGGCUUAACCUGGAGGAGUGAUCUAAGACUGAGUGACUAGAGAACAGUAGAGGGAAGCGGAAUUUCCGGUGUAGCGGUGAAAUGCGUAGAGAUCGGAAGGAACACCAGUGGCGAAGGCGGCUUUCUGGACUGAUUCUGACACUGAGGAGCGAAAGCGUGGGUAGCGAACAGGAUUAGAUACCCUUGUAGUC
rnacentral:rRNA from 1 species